rnacentral:rRNA from 1 species
AACGAACGCUGGCGGCAGGCUUAACACAUGCAAGUCGAGCGCCCCGCAAGGGGAGCGGCAGACGGGUGAGUAACGCGUGGGAAUCUACCCAUCCCUACGGAACAACUCCGGGAAACUGGAGCUAAUACCGUAUACGCCCUUCGGGGAAGGAUUAUCGGGAGUGGAUGAGCCCGCGUUGGAUUAGCUAGUUGGUGGGGUAA